rnacentral:rRNA from 1 species
UACGAAGGGGGCUAGCGUUAAUCGGAAUUACUGGGCGUAAAGCGUGCGCAGGCGGUGAUGUAAGACAGAUGUGAAAUCCCCGGGCUCAACCUGGGAACUGCAUUUGUGACUGCAUCGCUAGAGUACGGCAGAGGGGGAUGGAAUUCCGCGUGUAGCAGUGAAAUGCGUAGAUAUGCGGAGGAACACCGAUGGCGAAGGCAAUCCCCUGGGCCUGUACUGACGCUCAUGCACGAAAGCGUGGGGAGCAAACAGG